UUCCGGUUGAUCCUGCCGGAGGCUACCGCUAUUGGAGUUCGAUUAAGCCAUGCGAGUCGCGAGUCUUAGGGACUCGGCGUACCGCUCAGUAACACGUGGGUAACCUGCCCUAUGCUGGGGGAUAACCUCGGGAAACUGAGAAUAAUACCCCAUAGUUCACCAUGCCUGGAACGGUGGGUGGACCAAAGCUCCGGCGGCAUAGGAUGGGCCUGCGGCGUAUCAGGUUGUAGGGGGUGUAAUGUACCCUCUAGCCCUCUACGCGUACGGGUGUUGAGAGACAUCGCCCGGAGAUGGAUUCUGAGACACGAAUCCAGACCCUACGGGGUGCAGCAGGCGCGAAAACUUGGCAAUGCGAGAAAUCGUGACCAGGGAACUCCAAGUGCAUCGGGUAAGACCGAUGCUUUUCUUGACUCUUCAAAGGUCUUGGAAUAAGGGGUGGGUAAGGACGGUGCCAGCCGCCGCGGUAAUACCGGCGCCCCAAGUGGUAGUCGCUUUUAUUGGGCCUAAAACGUCCGUAGCCGGUCUGGUACAUUCGUGGGUAAAUCAACCAGCUCAACUGGUUGAAUUCUGCGAGCACGGCCAGACUUGGGACCGGGAGAGGUGUGGGGUACUCUCAGGGUAGGGGUAAAAUCCUGUCAUCCUGAGAGGACCACCUGUUGCGAAGGCGCCACACUAGAACGGAUCCGACGGUCAGGGACGAAGCCUAGGGGCACGAACCGGAUUAGAUACCCGGGUAGUCCUAGGUGUAAACGCUGUGGACUUGAUGUUGGGGGCGCUCCGAGCGCACUCAGUGUCGAAGCGAAGGUGAUAAGUCCACUGCCUGGGGAGUACGGUCGCAAGGCUGAAACUUAAAGGAAUUGGCGGGGGAGCACCGCAACCUGAGGAUUGUGCGGUUUAAUUGGAUUCAACGCCGG
rnacentral:rRNA from 1 species